rfam:Actinobacteria bacterium 13_2_20CM_2_71_6 13_2_20cm_2_scaffold_6111, whole genome shotgun sequence.
GGAGGUAGGUCCUCCGGAGUCGUCUUGCAGGAGAGGGCUUCAAACCACCGCAAGCUGCGUCGGUGAAUGAGUCGGGGUGGUGAGCGUUGCGGAAACGGCGUGCCGUGAGUGCGUCAGGU